rnacentral:rRNA from 1 species
UACAGAGGGGGCAAGCGUUAUUCGGAAUUAUUGGGCGUAAAGGGCGCGUAGGCGGCUUUGCAAGUGACGGGUGAAAUCCCUCGGCUUAACCGAGGAACUGCCUGUCAGACUGCAUGGCUUGAGACCAGGAGAGGUGAGUGGAAUUCCCAGUGUAGCGGUGAAAUGCGCAGAUAUCAGGAAGAACACCAAUGGCGAAAGCAGCUUUCUGGGACGGUACUGACGCUGAGACGCGAAAGCGUGGGGAGCGAACAGG